UUAAGUUGUCAUUCGACUUUUCGUUCAGACCGCAAUCAAGCUUCUUUCCGCAGAGUAGUUUCGCUGGAGCCGCCGGCAGACUGACCCGUCCCCGCGCCGCGGGGGUACCGCGGCGGGGGGAGGAGCUGCCGAAGCAACCGGGGCUUUUCACAAGGGGUUUCACGCUGACCGCGGGCCGGAACCACGCGGCAGGUGCGGGAGCGGGGCUCCCGGUAUUCGGUAAUGAUCCUUCCGCAGGUUCACCUACGGAAA
rnacentral:misc_RNA from 1 species